GGAGGAAUACCCAAGUCCGGCUGAAGGGAUCGGUCUUGAAAACCGACAGGGGCUUAACGGCUACGCGGGGGUUCGAAUCCCUCUUCCUCCGCCA
rnacentral:tRNA from 1 species